AGAAAAGCCCUUUUUAGGGCUACAAAAUAAUUUUAAAGAGAUUUAAU
rfam:Glossina brevipalpis unplaced genomic scaffold Scaffold137, whole genome shotgun sequence.